rnacentral:other from 1 species
GGUGCCCUGCGGUGCUCGUGAUAAAUGGUAGGCUUAGAGCCAACACCUCUUCUUUGGGGAUUUUAACUUGUUGUUGUGUGCAAGCUUGCCUUGAUGCAAGAAGCCUAAUGCAACAAAAAGAUACCCACCUUAACAAGAGGUUCAAGACAUACCGCUUACACGACACCCGCGGGGUUUUU